rnacentral:rRNA from 1 species
GACGAACGCUGGCGGCGUGCUUAACACAUGCAAGUCGGACGAGACCCCUUCUUCGGGAGGGUGUUCUAGUGGCGAACGGGUGAGUAACACGUGGGCAACCUGCCCUCAGCUCUGGGAUAACUCCAAGAAAUUGGGGCGUAAUACCGGAUAUGACUGCUGACCGCAUGGUCUGGUGGUGGAAAGAUUUAUCGGCUGGGGAUGGGCCCGCGGCCUAUCAGCUUGUUGGUGGGGUAGCGGCCCACCAAGGCGACGACGGGUAGCCGGCCUGAGAGGGUGACCGGCCACACUGGGACUGAGACACGGCCCAGACUCCUACGGGAGGCAGCAGUGGGGAAUAUUGCGCAAUGGGCGGAAGCCUGACGCAGCGACGCCGCGUGGGGAUGACGGCCU